CGGGUGAGUAAUGCCUAGGAAUCUGCCUGGUAGUGGGGGAUAACGCUCGGAAACGGACGCUAAUACCGCAUACGUCCUACGGGAGAAAGCAGGGGACCUUCGGGCCUUGCGCUAUCAGAUGAGCCUAGGUCGGAUUAGCUAGUUGGUGAGGUAAUGGCUCACCAAGGCGACGAUCCGUAACUGGUCUGAGAGGAUGAUCAGUCACACUGGAACUGAGACACGGUCCAGACUCCUACGGGAGGCAGCAGUGGGGAAUAUUGGACAAUGGGCGAAAGCCUGAUCCAGCCAUGCCGCGUGUGUGAAGAAGGUCUUCGGAUUGUAAAGCACUUUAAGUUGGGAGGAAGGGCAGUUACCUAAUACGUAUCUGUUUUGACGUUACCGACAGAAUAAGCACCGGCUAACUCUGUGCCAGCAGCCGCGGUAAUACAGAGGGUGCAAGCGUUAAUCGGAAUUACUGGGCGUAAAGCGCGCGUAGGUGGUUUGUUAAGUUGGAUGUGAAAUCCCCGGGCUCAACCUGGGAACUGCAUUCAAAACUGACAAGCUAGAGUAUGGUAGAGGGUGGUGGAAUUUCCUGUGUAGCGGUGAAAUGCGUAGAUAUAGGAAGGAACACCACGUGGCGAUGGCGACCACC
rnacentral:rRNA from 1 species